rnacentral:rRNA from 1 species
GUGUCAGCAGCCGCGGUAAAACGUAGGAGGCGAGCGUUAUCCGGAUUUACUGGGUGUAAAGCGCGAGCAGGCGGCCUGAUAAGUGGUGUGUGAAAGCGCUCUGGCUCAACCGGGCGAGGACAUGCCAGACUGUCGGGCUGGAGGUAGGUAGAGGCGAGUGGAAUUCCGGGUGUAGUGGUGAAAUGCGUAGAGAUCCGGAGGAACACCAGUGGCGAAGGCGACUCGCUGGGCCUGACCUGACGCUCAGACGCGAAAGCAUGGGGAGCGAACGGGAUUAGAUACCCGCGUAGUCC